rnacentral:rRNA from 1 species
AGUGAACGCUGGCGGUAGGCCUAACACAUGCAAGUCGAACGGCAGCACAGUAAGAGCUUGCUCUUACGGGUGGCGAGUGGCGGACGGGUGAGGAAUACAUCGGAAUCUACUUUUUCGUGGGGGCUAACGUAGGGAAACUUACGCUAAUACCGCAUACGACCUACGGGUGGAAGCAGGGGAGCUUCGGACCUUGCGCGAUUGAAUGAGCCGAUGUCGGAUUAGCUAGUUGGCGGGGUAAAGGCCCACCAAGGCGACGAUCCGUAGCUGGUCUGAGAGGAUGAUCAGCCACACUGGAACUGAGACACGGUCCAGACUCCUACGGGAGGCAGCAGUGGGGAAUAUUGGACAAUGGGCGCAAGCCUGAUCCAGCCAUACCGCGUGGGUGAAGAAGGCCUUCGGGUUGUAAAGCCCUUUUGUUGGGAAAGAAAAGCAGCAGGUUAAUACCCCGCUGUUCUGACGGUACCCAAAGAAUAAGCACCGGCUAACUUCGUG